rnacentral:rRNA from 1 species
GAUGAACGCUGGCGGCGUGCCUAAUACAUGCAAGUCGAGCGAACGGACGAGAAGCUUGCUUCUCUGAUGUUAGCGGCGGACGGGGGAGUAACACGUGGAUAACCUACCUAUAAGACUGGGAUAACUUCGGGAAACCGGAGCUAAUACCGGAUAAUAUUUUGAACCGCAUGGUUCAAAAGUGAAAGACGGUCUUGCUGUCACUUAUAGAUGGAUCCGCGCUGCAUUAGCUAGUUGGUAAGGUAACGGCUUACCAAGGCAACGUUGCAUAGCCGACCUGAGAGGGUGAUCGGCCACACUGGAACUGAGACACGGUCCAGACUCCUACGGGAGGCAGCAGUAGGGAAUCUUCCGCAAUGGGCGAAAGCCUGACGGAGCAACGCCGCGUGAGUGAUGAAGGUCUUCGGAUCGUAAAACUCUGUUAUUAGGGAAGAACAUAUGUGUAAGUAACUGUGCACGUCUUGACGGUACCUAAUCAGAAAGCCCCGGCUAACUACGUG